rnacentral:rRNA from 1 species
GACGAACGCUGGCGGCGUGCUUAACACAUGCAAGUCGAGCGGUAAGGCCCUUUCGGGGGUACACGAGCGGCGAACGGGUGAGUAACACGUGGGUGACCUGCCCUCAGCUCUGGGAUAAGCCUGGGAAACCGGGUCUAAUACUGGAUAUGACUCCAUGACGCAUGUUGUGGGGUGGAAAGCCUUGUGCGGCUGAGGAUGGGCCCGCGGCCUAUCAGCUUGUUGGUGGGGUGAGGCCUACCAAGGCGACGACGGGUAGCCGGCCUGAGAGGGCGACCGGCCACACUGGGACUGAGACACGGCCCAGACUCCUACGGGAGGCAGCAGGUGGGGAAUCUUGCGCAAUGGGCGAAAGCCUGACGCAGCGACGCCGCGUGAGGGAUGACGGCCU